UACAGAGGUCUCAAGCGUUGUUCGGAUUCAUUGGGCGUAAAGGGUGCGUAGGCGGCGCGGUAAGUCGGGAGUGUGAAAUCUCGGAGCUUAACUCCGAAACUGCAUUCGAUACUGCCGUGCUUGAGGACUGGAGAGGAGACUGGAAUUAGGUGUAGCGUGAAAUGCGUAGAGAUCGAUGAGGAAGACCAGUGGCGAAGGCGGGUCUCGUGGACAGUUCCUGACGCUGAGGCACGAAGGUCCAGGGGAGCAAAACGGG
rnacentral:rRNA from 1 species